AUCUGGUCGCAUCAUAAAACUACCUGCUACCGAUU
rnacentral:pre_miRNA from 13 species